rnacentral:misc_RNA from 1 species
GUGAAGAACGUAGCGAAAUGCGAUAAGUAAUGUGAAUUGCAGAAUUCAGUGAAUCAUCGAAUCUUUGAACGCACCUUGCGCUCUUUGGUAUUCCGAAGAGCAUGCCUGUUUGAGUGUCAUGAAAAUAUCAACCUUGACUUGGGUUUUGUGCUCUAGUCUCGGCUUGGAAUUGGGUGCUUGCCGCUUUAACGAGCGGCUCACCUUAAAUGUAUUAGCUGGAUCUGUCUUUGAGACUUGGUUUGACUUGGCGUAAUAAGUAUUUCGCUAAGGACAUUCUUCGGAGUGGCCUCGUUUCUAGGACGCUUGUCCGCUUUCCAAUACAAGUUCCACCUCGUGGACAUGACUUUUUAUUAUCUGGCCUCAAAUCAGGUAGGACUACCCGCUGAACUUAAGCAUAUCAAUAAGCGGAGGA